rnacentral:lncRNA from 1 species
GGAAAUUCUCAUCGAUCUCAAAGAGAAGCAGCUCUUACAAAAUUUCGCAUGAAGCGGAAAGAUAAGAUGCUUUGAAAAGAAGGUAUAUCAGCACCCAUCAUUUGUCUAUCAAAAGCUCGUAUUGUAUUUGACGAAUCAUUAUCUUCACCUUGAAAUUAACUGGCGGCAAGACUCAAUCUUGAAAAUCACUUCACAGAAGAACAAAAGAUCCUGUAACUUGUAAGCAUAGCAUUUCUCCUCUAAAUCAACCAACGGAAAGACAAAUAAGAUAUCAACAAGACAUACUGGUAGACAGUAAAGCCCAGAUAAAUAGAACUAAUAUGAAUGAAUGAUCAUUUUAGAGGGUUCUGUGAAUCAGUUUACAAAUGAGAAGCGCAGAUUGAACCAUUCUGAUGCCUCAGCCUUCACGCGGUGAGUUUUCAGUUUCCUAAUCUAUUCUUUUACGUGGUUUGAUGCAGCAUUAAUUUCAGAAUGAAGUGAUAAUGAAGAUAAAAGACAAUGGAUACCUUAUUGUCUGAAAAGGAAACUUCCCUUCUUCGUUGUAUUUUGAAUUGUUGAAAGCCUUACUACAAACACAUGAAACUUUGAGAGAUUGAACAACUUGAAGGACAAUAAGUUACACAUUAAACUUUGAGAGAUUGAACAACUUUUAGGACAAUAAGUUAUCUUUCAUGUCUACCUGUAAGAUGUGAUGAUCUAUUAAGAUAACAGAACUAAAAAUAUGAAUCCUGAGAUAACUUGGUUGUAGGACCUCGAGUUACUUAGGCAUCUCAUCCUUGAGUUUGAGCCGCUAAACUUAUGAAACUGUUUUGUCUAAGACCAUAGAAUGGGAGCGUCAUUUUGAAUUCUAUAAGAUGAUUUUUGAUAUUCUGAUGCAACCUUUUCAAACCAAUGAAUUUUUGUAAAUAACAAUUAGGAAAAUGCUCCUGCAGGUAUGUCAACAGGGCAAUGCAGUCUAGACAUUCAACGUCGUCUUAAGGCUUAUAAUCUACAGGAAUAUGAAGCUGAUUCUGAUAAGCAGUUAUGUGGUCAUGCCACUGAUUACAACUCAGACACCCGCGGUCCGAUGACUAGACCUCAAAGUUUUGCCCCUCUUAGUUGCGGAGAACCAAGACCAGCUGAAUUUGGACUAAACUUCUCCUCAGCAGAGAGUGACGCCUCUCUCUAUACCAGUGAGAGGUAUCAGGUUUGAGGGACCAACCUGUGCCUACAGUUCUAGGAUUGCUCCAAUACUUCGUAUGCCAUCUGGAAUUUCACCACUGCAGAGUCCAGGUUCGGGUACCCCUCGGGAAUCUUCCUGUCAGGCGAAUCCAUUCCUCAUGUUAAAUUGUGAAAGUAGGAGCUCUCAGCAGUUGCACUCACAGAGUGAUCAAAACAACAGUGACUCGACAGAUUACAAUGAGGGUAAGAGAGGACACAAUUCUGAACCUACACCUGAUUGCCAACGCUUUCCAUCUGCAACUGAUCAAACUACAAAUAGCAUUUGCUGCAAUGGUGAUCUAAACCAUGUUCAUCUGAGUUAUGGAAGCAACGGAAACAUCACACUUCCACUCAGCAAAACACCAGCAGAGUAUAGGAAAGAAGAAAGCUUUCACGCUCCUGAUGGAAAUUCUCAUCGAUCUCAAAGAGAAGCAGCUCUUACAAAAUUUCGCAUGAAGCGGAAAGAUAAGAUGCUUUGAAAAGAAGGUAUAUCAGCACCCAUCAUUUGUCUAUCAAAAGCUCGUAUUGUAUUUGACGAAUCAUUAUCUUCACCUUGAAAUUAACUGGCGGCAAGACUCAAUCUUGAAAAUCACUUCACAGAAGAACAAAAGAUCCUGUAACUUGUAAGCAUAGCAUUUCUCCUCUAAAUCAACCAACGGAAAGACAAAUAAGAUAUCAACAAGACAUA